UAUAUUUUUUAGAUAUUAAAUAUUACGUGAUAUAGUAAUUAUCAAAUGUAUUUUUAGGGGUGAUAGGCUUUCCAAAAUUGUUGAUAACUUGAUACACAAUAAAGUUAUUAAGUAUUAAAGCGUACUCUGAAAGUUAAGUUUCCGAGUAGUGAUUAAUUUAGAGAAAUGAAUAUAUUAUAGUUUAAAAGCUAAUUAAUAAUAAUAUAAAUAAUUUUUUUCUUAUGAUUAUUUAAUAUAUUGUGUUAUAUUUAAUUCAGAAAUAUAUAAAUAAUGUUAGUAUAAGUAAUAUUUGUAAAUAAAUUGAAGGAACUCGGCAAACAUAUUUUUCAACUGUUUAUCAAAAACAUAACUAUAUGAAAAAAUAUAUAGCUUUUCCUGCUCAAUGACUUAAAUAGCCGCAGUACCUUGACUGUGCAAAGGUAGCAUAAUCAGUUGGCUUUUAAAUGGGGUCUGGAAUGAAUGGAUUUUUGGAAAAUAACUUUCUAUUUUUUAUUUGUUGGAAAUUAAUUUGUAAGUGAAAAUACUUACAUAUAUAUAUAAAGGACGAGAAGACCCUAGAAAUUUAGAUAUUAUUUUGUUGGGGCGACAGAACUACAAAAAACUAGUUUGUUUAACGUGACGUUUGUACAGAUCGACUAAAUUACUCUAGGGAUAACAGCAUAAUUUAAAUAGUUUGUGACCUCGAUGUUGGACUAGGAUAUUAAAUGAUUUAGAAGAUCUUUAAUGGUGCUCUGUUCGAGCU
rnacentral:rRNA from 1 species